rnacentral:lncRNA from 1 species
GAAUUUUCUCUUGGUGACCACCUUCUCAACUAAACUGUAUACCCUCCCUUAAUCUUGAGAAACCCUAAUUCCUGGAGAGAGAAAACUUCCUUUAUCGUUUCUACAAAAAACAAACCUUUUUCGCCAGAGAAUGGGACGAUAGUCACCACACCUUUUUGCUCUAAUCUUUUCGCCAGAGCAAGACCAACCUCAACCCAAUUAUCAAAAUCUGCUAGGCAUUUGCACACCACUGCUCUCUCCCACCUCCCAAUUGGAACAAGGCCUCAUCUUCUCGAUUCUUCUUCUCUGACUACAUUUGCAAAUGAUAGGUACAAAUGACCCACAUGUUUGUGAUUAAAUCUUUCUUCCCUGCACUGACUUCCCUUUUCAUCUAUAUUCGAGAAGGGGACCACCAACAUUGAAGACAACGUACUUUUUAUUUGCUCAUAUCCCCUACCCUUCUCGCCCUCGGGUAUUACCAGGAAAGUUGACUUUCUGUUGGAGGUGAACUCCGAAAGCCUUAUAAACCUCCCAUAGUUGUUGAAGCAUACCUCCAUUAAAUGGACAUUGGAUUUUCCCCCAUAUUUUUUGUUGAAACCCAUGUAACUCUUCAGCUCGAUGGCCUUCGUCAAAUGUUCGAUCAACUAACCAACCUCUUCCUUCUCAAAACUUAAGGCGAAAACAGAACCCCUAUUGUACUCUGUAAGCGAGCACCAUUUUCCACUGGACUGGCCUUCAAGCCUAACCAAGAAGGUUUUCCUCUCCACAGAGACCUUCAACAUCCUUACCAUUCUUUCUAAAAUUAUAUAUAUGAAACCGACCAGAUUAUUACUUUAAAGAAACCUAUUAUUAUUCAAGCACUUAUCUUUUGGAUUUUCUAUUUUUGAAAAACACUUAGGGAAUGACUUAAAUGCUUUUUAGGGAGGGAAUGUAUGUGUGAAUAAAGGUGGUGAUAAUGACGCAAGAUAUAUCACACUAAGGGCAUGACAUGAGGGCUUCAGAACUAAGCAAGGUACGAUGGUGAGCUUUACAACCAUGCACACAUGAACACAAUGUCAAGAAGUGUGGCACAACACAUAAGUGCAAUGAUGGGGGUAAAAUUGUGGCACACGAAUGAGCAUGGUUACCUUGAACUAGAAGGAUUAACAUGGUUGGCACACACAUAGGCCAACAAAGUAACACAAAUCAUGGUUUAAGAAUAUGACUUAGCAACAAAGCAACAUUGUAAGCAUAUAGGCUAAGAGAUGGCUUGACAUGCAUGGAAUACCUAAACACACAAGCAACGGCACAAAAGAGGCUGACUAGACACUUGAGUAAAAUUAUACUAAUGAACUCAAAACCAAACAUAGACUAACACAUGGAAGACUCCUUAGCAUUAGGGUCAACUUGAAGGAAGAAAUGCACCUUGGCAUUAGGGUAGCUUAAGUAAAGGUAGGGUUUGACACAUGAUGUGUUGAGAUAGGAAAUCACUUGACACAAGUCAAACCAAUCUCAGGUUGUUGAGCUUGAGUAUAGACAACAUUGAUCAAGGGACAAACAUUACAUGUUGACUAAAGGCUUUGCAUCAGUCAAGGGAUAAGUGGCAAAUUGUUGAAGCAUUGAGAAAGCUGAAGACAUUAUUCAAAUUUGAGUUUGAAUUUUAGUAGUUUGUUCCUAGAUAGAUAGGAAGUUGUUAGAUGAUAAUGCUUAUAAAUAGUGUACCCACCAAUCAUUCUAAGUAUGAAUUCACCAAUUAUUCUAAAUGUUCUUGUAAAAUCUCUAGACUGAUGCUAGUUGGGCAGGUUUAUCUUAUAAUCUUGUGCUACCUUGUCUCUUUCUUAUUGCUUUCUUUAUUGUGAUCUUGUGUGGGUAAAAAUAGGCAGGCUUAGAGAACUCUAAGCGCUGCACAACACAAAAAUUGUGAGGAAAAUUCAUGCUCGUGACAAAGAUCCAUUAUACACGGUUGCAGUACAGUUGGCAUAGAAGUGAGAAAUUGAUCGUAAGAGUUAUGAGAUUCAAACAAAAUGCAUAGAUUGAGAAGCCAAGAUUCAUGAGGAUGUUUGAUAUGAUCAAAUCCUGCGAGUGAGUCAUCUUUGUGAGCUUAUGCGUAUACAUACAAGGGCCAUGUUUUCUGCGCAUAAGUCACAUUUAAGUGCCAAGCCACAUAGAACAGAUUCAACUGAGCAUCAGGAGUUUAUACAGAAACUCCACAGCCAAACACUGUCGAACUUCAGGUACACUUUGGUGGCGCCUGGAAGCAUUUAAGUCUCGGAAUUCGCAUGGCGUUGCAUGGCGCGGCGA